AGGGCAGAGAAGUCGUCACUUACUCAGAGUCUUCACAUACCCAAGUAUAAGUCAGAGACAGGUCUGGAACUCAGGUCUUCCCGACUCAGACUGGCUCUCUAUUCACUAUACCUUCCUGCCUCUGUGGUAUAUAAGGAAGACAGUGGGAGGGUUGGGAAUGAAUUCCCAGAGACGGGCCUACUUUCCAAAAAGUAGACCAGACAGGAGAUAUCAUGGAAUCUGCUCCCACGAAGGGCAACCCAGAGGAUGUCUCCUGACUGGGCUUGGAAAUAACUCAUAACCAACAAAUCUGAUACAAUGGCUAAGGUGGGGCACUUCCUUGAGGAUCCCAUAACCUAAUUCAAACUCUUAUUCCCU
rnacentral:RNase_P_RNA from 1 species